ensembl:lncRNA
CACACUUUAAGAGCCAUUGCUGUAGAUAUUUAAGGUAGUGAUCAGGUUCCUUCUCUCCUUAAUCUUCUCUGAGCCAAUGUCCCUACCUACUUCAGCUGCUUAUCACUUGACAUUACUUACUGGUUUGUCAUCCCUUUUAAGCCUGGUGCCCACAAAUGUAAUGAUUCUUUGGAGGAAGCUUAAUCAGCGCCUUAUACAUCAAAACAGUUGCCCCUCCUGGCUCUGCGCUUACCUAUGAGCUUUCUUUCUGCUUUCCUGGGUUGUCGGAUGGACCGGGCUUUCUCUGGGCCUUAAUGAAGCUGAUGUGUUAGGGAGGGCAACCGUAGGUAGAGCUAUUACUUAAACCCUAGGGGGACUAAGGAACUAAACACUUGUUUGGAGGAAGCAAGAAUUUUCUCUCCAGUGUAUCUCUGCUAUAAGGUGUUUGAAUAGAGUAGAGGUUUGUCUUGUGCAGAUUGAGCGUGUGAUCACAGGUGGGAUUUGGGAGUGUGACCCACACGGUAGCAGUGUCAGAGUCUCAGCAUUUGAAAGAACACCUGGGAGAAAAACAGUCAGUGCUCAGCUGAACCAAGUCUUUUGUCCCUGUCUUUCAGCAGAGGAACCUCUGAAAGAUGUUUCUAAAACAGUUUCUAAAAGAUGCAGAGACAAUAACCCCUUCUUGGAUUUCUCUUUAUUCUCCUGCUCCUUGCCUAAAAUUGCUUUCUCAUGCUUCGAGGUGGUCUUCUAGCUGUAUGUAGUUCAGGAGUUACCUUAUAGCCUAGUUGUGUCCUUCAUGGUGAAGUGGAUGUACCUGGAUGAGUUCAUAAGUGGACAUGUGUCCUUGGAUCAGCUGUCUUAAAUUCCUGGUCAGUUUGGGCCUGCCUUUCCUGCCUCUGCAGAAAAAAUCCUACCUGGAGCGGAGCGUGAAGGAAGCUGAGGACAACAUCCGGGAGAUGCUGAUGGCACGAAGGGCCCAGUAGGAAGCCUUAGGGGAAGCUCUUCCUCUUGACCCCUCCCAUUCCUGGUGAGGGCGGAGGGGCCUGUGUGGGGAGAUGGCCUCUGCUCUGCCCUGAUGGAUAUUUUAUUUGGACGGUCUGGUAAUCCUAUGUUUUGUACAUCACUCUGAGCUCCUUUCAGAUCCCAACCCUGUAUUUUUUUAUCCUGGCUCUGCCUGCCACCCAGGACACUCCUCUCCCCUGAGGGUGAGUCAUGAACUCCCAGGAGAGGGAAGAUGGGAGCCAGGACAGAUAGGGGGGCUCUACCCAAGCCUACUACUGGUCACAUACUGGUCAGACCAAUAAAAGGCACCUGUCCCACUCUGUGAAGUCUGCUUUUCUUGAGCUGAUGGAUGAGAACAGAAGAGGCAGAGGCUGUAUCCGUGUGCCACAGAGCUCCUCCCUGUGCCUCCCCAGGGCUGUGACCCUGCUCCUUCUGCACUGAAGCCUUCCCCCUUUUUCCCUUUUCUGUUCCUCUGAGUAAAUCCCUCAACUUUUGAGCCUCUAUGUAGUAUGCAGAUAAGAAGAAAGAAUACCAGGGCAUAGCUGAAUUUAAGUGAGCAGAACAGUGGUUCCUCGGUGGCAGUCUGCCUAAACAUUUCUUUCCCACUUCCUCCCAAACAUUCCAAAAGAAAAUUCAGUAAUAAACCAGCAGCACCUCUAAGACUGUGUCCCUUUGGCCAAUGUCAUAAGGUGGACACUACAGUCCUGAGGCCUCGCAGAGGCUAUGAGGCAGUGGUGUGCUGGAGCUGCCUUGUACUGGCUCAGGAGAGCAAAGUAUUCAGUUUUCAGAAAUUUUGUUGCAAGUCAGUUGUUACACAGCAAUUAUUAAAAAUUAAAUUGUGUAAAUUUAUAAUUAAAUUAUAUUAAAAGUGAGGAUAAAAAAUAUUCAAAACUUAUACCUUCCUAAAUACUUUACUAAAUCUGGCCAUUAUCUACCUGUUUUUUUGAAGUUAACAGUCUAUCGUAUCCGGAUGGUAGAAACACUAUAUAGUGGUGCGCUCUUGCACUUCCCUUCCCAGCUCUGCAUUCAGGACAUCACAUUGGUAGUGUGAAAUCAGCUAUGGUGGGACCAUUUACUCCACAGAAAUCAGGUGAUGCUAAAAAAUCAUGGCUUUUUUGUUUAUUUUUAGAGAAAGCUGGUAGUUAAAUAUUUAUCAGUAUCUCCUGCUUUGGAGGUAAGGUGGGCAGGCAGAGGGAAGCAGGGAGGUGUCAACUGCAGCCUCUCGGGGCUGGCAGAGCAGGCCAGCUCAAGGAAAAUCUGACUUGCUGCUGUGGCAGCUCAGCGCCACCCUGUGGCCAAAACUGAGAUGGGUGGCCUGGCUGACUAGUUUGUAUUAUGACAGCUCUUCUGUCUUGUGUGUGGGUGUCGAGUGGGUGUGUGUUGGGAUGGGACAGCAGGAAAAGAAGGCCUGGGGUUUCUGUGGACUCCUGCUCUCCUUCUAGAGCAAGCCCUAGGGCAGCCCACAGCUACCAAGAGACCCUUUCCUAGGUUCUGGGUAAAAGUGGGUACAGCUCUUUGAUGAGCCCAUAUCUGAGUGGCACGAGGGAGAGAAUGCUAGCUCAAUGAGGGCCCCAUGACCUGGCUGAAAGACAUCCUGCCUUGGAACCUGCCUUCGUAAUAGCACUCACACUGUAUAGCAGCCAGAAUUAAAAGGUAAUAGGUCUCUCAUUAUAUACUGGACAGUGGCCACUAGC